UCCUCCUGCCUUGGCCUCCCAAAGUGCUAGGAUUACAGGCUUGAGCCACCGCACCUGGCCAGACAAUAUUGUUUUGAUGACGAUCUUAUACAUGAGUUUCUUGCUAUAGCAAACUUUGAGCAUUCAGAAAACUUAUAUUUGAAAAUUGGAUCUUCUUCUAUGGAAGAGAUAUUGCUAAGGGGUUUAUCUAGUAAUGUACUAGAAUGUACUGGAAUCCAGUCCCAGCUUCUGGUUAUCUUGUGUCAAUUUUUGCAGAGUGUGAAGGUGAGGGGCAGUUACCCCCUGGGCUAGCACUCCAUGAAGUUUUUGGUACAUAUUAAUAUAAACAGUACCAAGCCAGAUUACUAAGUCAAAUUGAUGAUGGGAAAGGACUGAACCAAGAUGUGAAGCUAAGAGGGUCAGAAAUAAGAGGGGAACUGAAUGUGAGGAGGUUUGGAACAAGUAGCAGACCAAUGAGGCUGGAGGCAUUUCCCAAAGCACAGCCCACUAUGCAUUGCUUUGGACCUGCCAUGGUGUAGCAAUUGGCUUACUUUGUAAAUAAGAAGAAUAGCAACGAGUGAGUUUACAAACUCGUUUCUGCUAACCUACUUCCUAUAAUAAGCCCUCCCCAAAAUAACCCUACUUUGGUGGGACAAAAACAGUGCAAUAAAAUCUGCAAUCGACUAGUGAUUAAUCAUUUUUCCUGCUAAAGUUUCAAACUGUAGAAUCUGAAAUCUCAUUCUGUAACUGGAGUAUUCCCAAUCUUCCAAUGGGAAAACAACUUGGUACAUCAGAUUCUUCCUUAAGUUAAUUCGAAGAGAAAGGAGAGUGGGCCAAUAUUUAACUGACAUACAAAGAAUUUAGCAUUAUGAUCUGGAGUUUCCAAAUAAUAAAUAUAAAAAAUUGAAUUUAAAUAAAACCAGAUUGAACACUAAGGCUGAGGCUGGAGCUUCCAAGGAUGAGUAUCUUCCUGAGCCAACUCAGCUUAUACACAAUAGCCCCAGUGGACUAACAGCUGGCUGUUCUGGAAAAUAGUCACAGUUUUAGCCUGUCUUGUACAUAUAGCUAGCAAGUUGCAAAGCUGGGAUUCAAAGCCAGGAUGUCUGGCUCAAGAAUCCAUGCCCAAAUUUGAAACUUUACAGUUUUUAUAGUCUUAACUAUUAUCCCAGCACUUAGUAAAUGGUAUAUUGUUGGAAUAUAGAAUUCCAACAAAUCUAACAAUGUGUUGAACGGAACUAAUUCUGUCUCCAGCUAUACAUAUAACUGGCUGUGUCAUUAAGUCUCAGUUGGUAAUAUGAUCACCUUAACAGUUUUGAAGUGUGAUAUUAUUUAAUCGAAUUGAGCAAAUUGCUGACACUUGACUCUGCACAUGUAUAUAAUCAGAAAUCUGGGCUAGAUACUAUCCUAGGAAAGCAAUGGAGCAAACGUCUGUCAACAUAGUCUGGGGGACAGCAGACACACGGACAAGUUAUUCAAAUAUGAGCCUGAGUUUGGUAAAGUUUGCAACAGAGAAAUAAACAUUUGAAGGAGGUUCUAGGGAAGGAGAAAUAGAAUUUAAAUUACUUGAAGUACAAAUAAUUAACCCUGGCUUUCAAGAGGUUUCAUCAUUAAACCAGUGAAUCUCAACCUGGGGUUCUUACUAAAUUCAUUGGCUCCUUUCCAGACAACUAAAUCAGAAGAUUCUCAUGGGAAACCACAGUUACAAACUACAGAUUCAGCCUCUGUGGAUACUUCUCUAACCUCACGUACCUUCCUUCCUGCUCCUCCUAUCUUCUGUGCACAUGUUACACCAGUGUGAAGAAUGAAUACAAAUCCUUUAUGUACAAAGGCCAGAGAAGAGGAAGAGAGCAUGGACCCUGAAGGAAGAGAUAAAGGAAUAAUCACCUGAGAUUGAAAGGAUUAUGGAAGACAUAUUACUUUGCUAGGGCUGCUGUACAAAGCAACACAAACUAGGUGGCUUAAAUAACAAAAAUUUACUGCUGAGUAGUUCUGGAGGUUAGAAGUCUGAAAUCGAGGUCUCAGCAGGGUUGGUUUUUUGUGGAUUGUGAGGGGAGGAACUGUUCCAGCUUUGUCUCCUUGGCUUGUAGAUGAGCAGCUUCUCCCUGUGCCUUGACAUCAUCCUCGCUCUCACUUGUCUAUCCCUAAAUUUUCCCUUCUUAUAAGGGCACAAGUUAUAAUGCAUUAGGCCCCACUCUUAAUGACUUUAUUUUAACUUGAUUAUCUCUAUAAAGAUCCUCUCUCCAAAUGAAGUCACAGUCUGAGACACUAGGUGUUAACACUUCAACACAUGAAUUUGGGGGAACACAAUUCAAUUGAUAACAGAAGGUUUGCUACAGCUGGGCCUUAGGUAGUUUUGAUUUGAAAAGACAAAAUAUAGAACAAAUCAUUAGACGAAUAGACAUUCAAAGAUAUCUAGUGGAGGUAUCUUUAUAGAUUUUAUGUAGUUGCCAUAUCCUAGGAUUUGACUUAAAUAAAUGUUUUUUGAAUCGAGAA